UAGGGUUGCACCUUGCGACGAUUGGAAUUGCACACAACUCCUUCUCCUUUCACGCGAACGAACGGCGGCGCCGGGAGAGACUUCUUCUCCUACGAGAUCCUCUUCUCUCCGCCGUAAACAAAGUCAAACAAAACUCCACUUCACCGACGUCCUGCUCACUCAUCUCGUUUCCUUCUCCAUUUCCUGGUUCUCUCAGUUCUCCGCGAUCAAUCAAAAUAACGCCUCGAAGGAAAACAAGAACGGAACGCCAUGAUUGUAGGUUUGCCGGUCGGAGAAGCUCCGAUGGUUUCUUUAACGGCGGUGAGCAGAAAGAGGAAAACCGAAGGUCAUUGCUCAGAUGACGAUGCAUCUGGAGCAUGUCAAAGAUUGAAGCUUGGAUGAAUACGUGUUUUGCAGAUUCGUGAUUGAGGUGCGGAGUUGUGUGAAGAUGAUGAUUGAGCGAGAUUGGUUGAAGGUUGUGAAGUGAUGAAGGUGAUGAAUGUUGUGGAGGAUGGGGUAGCAGAGAGUAUGAAGAGAGGUUGAAGGUGGAAGAUGAAGUUCUGAAGAUUCGUGAUGGAGGAUGAAGGUGAAAAUGGUGAAGAAGUGAAGUUGUGUGUGAAAUGAUGGAGAAGUGAAAACAGAGUGGUGAAGGGAGAGUGAAAGUGAAGAGAGCAAAAAUGGUGGAGGGACUUCUGAAUUAUGGUGGUUCUGGUUUUAUAGAAGUUCAAGAUGAAGAAGAUUCAAGGGCUGUUUGAACUUCCUCUGAACGAGGCUGCAAUCGGGUGGCGUAUUGGAUGUGUGUAUUACGAAUGUUGCAGUUCUGUGUAGGGGCUGGACCAUGAACACUUUAGAGUUACUUCAACUGAGCUUGACAAGAGAGUCCUUUCAAGGCCCUAAAGCACCUUGUUGUUCAUGAAGGCAACAUAUCAUGAGGGCUUUGGCUUUGGUCACAUGUGAUCCACACUUGUUUUUUCUGUAUAGUCUUCUCCUGGUGUAAUAUAUACUUGGAAUGUGCUUUGGCUAUAAUAAAUUAGUUAUUCAUGUAAUGACUUCCCAUUCUAUUUUGUCUUGUAAUUGACUUCCCUUUUAGUUGGAAUGGAACUUUAAAUUGACUUUUGAUGA